UACGUAGGGGGCAAGCGUUGUCCGGAAUCAUUGGGCGUAAAGAGCGCGUAGGCGGCCCUGUAAGUCCGCUGUGAAAGUCAAGGGCUCAACCCUUGAAUGCCGGUGGAUACUGCAGGGCUAGAGUCCGGAAGAGGCGAGUGGAAUUCCCGGUGUAGCGGUGAAAUGCGCAGAUAUCGGGAGGAACACCGAUGGCGAAGGCAACCGCCUGGGCCUGUACUGACGCUGAGACACGAAAGCGUGGGGAGCAAACAGG
rnacentral:rRNA from 1 species